UACUUCUGCACUAGUCUUAAGUGAUAAUGGCCAUACAUCCAUGUGUUCUUUUAGCUGUGGUUUGAGCAUGGUAGGCCAGCAGUUGUAUCUUGGAACAUAAGGCUCCAAUUUAUCUAGCUCCAGAUAAUGGUGACAUGCUGGUGAGGUAAAAUAGAUCAUUUUAAAUUCUAUAAAACAUGGCUAUAUGGUGACUGCGAGUUGAUAAGGCUUGGACUCUGAUUUCUCCUUUCUUUUCCAUAGUAAUGAUUUUUUUUUAAAUUUUUUUUGUGGAGUUCUUCUUCUUUGUUUCUGCAAUGGUAUGCUGAUUUCUCUUAAGUCGACAUCCUGAUGGUUUAAGUGUUUGGAACUGAGGUUGGUGUUUUCUCUCGGGUUCUCAUCAUGUUUAGGAAUUGGGCUCCUUAAGCUGGUCGUGUUGGGGGUCUUACUAUACAGGGGACGGUUUUUGUAGAGCUGUUGUUUCUUUUAGUUCCUUUUCGUUCUCUCUUUUGUUGUAUUUUCUUUUCUUUUGGUAGUCUAUUCUCUCUCUCUCUCUCUCUCUCUCUCUCUCUCUCUCUCUCUCUCUCUCUCUCUCUCUCUUGUUUUGUUCAGGCUGGUGCUAAACAUGUUUAUGCGGUGGAGGCAUCUGAAAUGGCAGAAUAUGCAUGCAGGCUUAUUGCUGGGAAUCCAUCAUUGAGAGAAUGGAUUACGGUGAUCAAAGGUAAAGUUGAGGAUGUUGAAUUGCCUGAGAAAGCAGGCAUUCUGAUUUCUGGGGCUAUAUGAUUCAGAAGGGUGUUGCAGGGAGCACAGAUCCAUUGCCAAAAUAUUAGAUCUGAGGCAACAUGAUUGUGUUGAGAUUUCCAUCUUAUUUCCAUGGUUUCUCUGUUUGUGUUGAGAUUUCAAGUGUCUUGGACUAAGGGAAAAAACCCAUCUCUAUUUUUCUUCUUUCCUUUUCUUUUCUUUAUGUUUUUUCAUGUUUUAUGGAUUGGGAUUCCAAGUCUAUUUGACUGAGAAUUGAAGACUCUUUCUGGGUUUUCUUGGGUUUUA